UCCCGACCAUCCCCUCCCGGGCUCCUUCCUCCUUCCGUACCCGUCGCCCACGCGCUAUGUCCCCGCCCCGGGUGUCCGGUCGCAAGAUUCAAACUCAAAGGAAUCGACGGGGACCCGCACAAGCGGUGGAUGAUGUGGAUUAAUUCUAUGCAACGCGAAAAACCUUACCUACCCUUGACAUGGUCGGAAUCCCUCUGAGAGGUGGGAUUGCUCCAUUGAGAACCGGCGCACAGGUGGUGCAUGGUUGUC
rnacentral:rRNA from 1 species